rnacentral:rRNA from 1 species
GAGGCGCGGCGUACAGCUCAGUAACACGUGGCUAACCUGCCCUUGGGACGGGAAUACCCCCGGGAAACUGGGGCUAAUUCCCGAUAGGUGAAGAACUCUGGAAUGAAUCUCCGCCCAAAAGACGCUUAAAUCAUACUUUUAGGCGCCGCCCAAGGAUGGGGCCGCGGCCGAUCAGGUAGUUGGUGAGGCAACGGCUCACCAAGCCUUUAACCGGUGCGGGCCGUGAGAGCGGGAGCCCGGAGAUGGGCACUGAGACAAGGGCCCAGGCCCUACGGGGCGCACCAGUCGCGAAAACUUUGCAAUACACGAAAGUGUGACAGGGCUAUCCCGAGUGCCAUCCGCUGAGGAAGGCUUUUACCCAGUCUAGAAAGCUGGGAGAAUAAGGAGAGGGCAAGCCUGGUGUCAGCCGCCGCGGUAAUACCAGCUCUCCGAGUGGUGUGGAUG